rnacentral:lncRNA from 1 species
AACCCCAUAAUCUAAUUUUUUUAUGUGUGUGCGCUGCCAAACAAGUUGCUGCUUUCUUGCAGGGUCAUACACCACCUCGGGAAAGCGUGACAGAUCGUGUCGAUGUAUUGAAAACCUCCGCCAGCCAGACAGCCACAAGAAAAACCACAAGAACAGUGGAAACCCAGACGACACCAGAAUGCCAGUCUGUUGCCACGCAGGUGCAAAUGACCAUGAAAAUCAUGGUUUCCACAGCGACACAGACGAAGCAUCCCUCCACCACACAAAGUGCAGUGCUGAAUCAGCGUGAAGCUGCAUGCCCUGAAGCCCAAAGAGACACUGCAAUACAAGUCACCCCACUACCAUUGCUCCCAGCAGACUUCAGACCUCUCCGUGGUUCAACGCCUGUGCCAAUGGAGAUGGAUGACUCUUGUGCAGGUGAUGAAGACAAGCCAGCAGCUCAAGAAGACACCAGCUAUGUGCCAUCAUUCAGCGAGAGCUUCUUCAGGUAUCUUGUGCAUUAAAAUACAGUAGACUCACAACAAAAUAAAUCUCUCACAAUUUUUCAUAACAGUGCAUGAGUGAACCCCAGAAUGCUAAUCGUAUUAACAAAAUCUGAGAACAAACUACACAAAAGGUUUACAUAAGAACUGGACAAAUGCAAUUAUUAUAGAAAAACAUCACAAUACAAACGGACAAGCGCGAGAGCAUAUCAGCAAAGGUCAGGAACUUUACAAACAUACUAAUUCAAAAAGAACAGAAGCGAGAAAACGUUAAAUGGAAAGCAAAGAUUGCAAUUAUAAUUUAAUGACUGCCUUCCGAUAGCUUAUUGAGCGAGUAUUUCGUGCAGGGUGUGUCAACAUAUACCAAUGGUUUAAUUUUAUCAUGUACAGAAUUCCAUAAUGACGUGCCAGAGAAGACAGCAGUUCAUUUGCCAUGCUUUGUUCAAAUGGCAGGGUAGAAGCAAGUUAUUGUUGUAGAAAACCUGGAAAUGUUAGUAAUCUUGAGAUUGUUUGGACAAGCCAAGUAAAGAUAUGAAUUUUUUUUUUACUUUGGAGAUAAAAAGUGAUAGCUUCUGUUUAAACAGCGCUGUGUGUGGCUUUUUUCGUUUGUCCCUUUCCCUCACGAUGUUUUUUUUUUUUUAAACAUGAACUACCAACAUAUCCAACUCUUUACCCUUCAUAGCCCUCAUAGACGCUAUAUGAUACUCAAGCUGUGAUAGGGGGCUAGAGUGACUGCAACUUAGAGUGCCAUAUGUGUGGAAACAACUAUAGAUGCGAAAAGGCAGCAGAAUUCUCUUGAGAAGCAUGUGGCUAAACUCUGUUUCAUACACAGGAGGCGAGGCAGACAGCUUUUAGAUGGCAUGUCUUGCAACGAGCAAAAUGGUAGCAAACUAACUGGUGCCACCAUGCAUCGUACAAUUCCAAAUAGACAUAUGAGCACCCAAGUACUGACUUGUUUU